UUAUCAAUUAGGCCGGUUCGAGCCCUGGCUCCGACAGUCUGUCGUGUCCUUGGGCAAGACACUUCACCCGUUGCCUACUGGUGGUGGUCAGAGGGGCUGGUGGCGCCAGUGUCCGGCAGCCUCGCCUCUGUCAGUGCGCCCCAGGGUGGCUGUGGCUACAAUGUAGCUGCCAUCGCCAAUGUGUGGAUGACUGGAUGUGUAAAGCGCUUUGGGGUCCUUAGGGACUAGCAAAGCGCUAUACAAAUACAGGCCAUUUACCAUUUAACCAGCACCAGAAUGCAUGAGCAGAUCACCCCUGUCCUCGCUAAACUACACUGGCUUCCCAUCAAAUAUCGCAUUGAUUUCAAACUGCUGCUCACUUUUAAAAUUCUAAAUAACCUGGCCCCUAGCUACCUAACUGAUCUGCUUGAUCUGUACAACCCAAAGAGAGCACUAAGAUCCUCCAGCCAACUGCUCCUAAUGCAAUUGUUACACCCCGGCCUAGGCAACCGGGGUGCAACGUAGAAAAACAAAGAUAAGGAAAAUAAAAAUAAGGAAAAUAAAAAUAAGGUAAAAAAAAACACACGAGAAAAAACUAAUACGGGUUUCCACAAAAAUCAUCCCAAAACGACCACUAUUUUCUUUAAAGCAAAAUGAUAUUUAUUUACAACGCAAGGCGCCAAACUAUUUACAACGGGGGGGGGGAAAAAGAUCGCGACCAUGACAACUGACACACAGGGCUUAAAUACAUGGAGGGAACAAUCAGGGAAUGGACAACAGGAGGGAAACACAGCUGGGGCAAAUCAGAACUGACGAGACAGGGAAAAUGUAAACUGAACACACUAAGAUGACACAGACUUUCAAAGUAAAGUAGGAAACACAUAACAGUCACGCAAAAACAACACAUUACCAACGCCAAAUCGUCAAUCCCGGAGGAGCACCUAGACACUCAAAUCCACACACAAUUACGGUCACAGCCGUAACACCCCCUUACCCAAGAAUUAACAUUAACCCCAAAAUGUUUAAUUCAAGGAAACACCCCCAAAAAAAACAAACAUUUAAAACAUACAACCCCAACGAAAAAUGUUUGUUCCAUGUCCAGCCCAUACGGCACCGGCCACCGUCCCGCAGGCGACGCUGAUGACUGGACGGGUCCUCCAGUGGAAACGGAAAACCGGAGCGGGCCCUCGGAUCCUCCAGCGAAGACAAACGAAGCUGAUGAAGGCUGGAGCGGUCCCUUGGACACUCCAGCGAAGGCGGAUGAAGGCUGGUGGAGGCUGGAGCGGUCCCACGGACCCUCCAGCAGACGACGAAGGCUGGAGCGGUCCCUCGGACCCUCCAGCGAACACAAACGAAGGCUGACGAAGGCUAGAGCGGUCCCACUGACCCUCCAGCAGACGAAGGCCGGAGCGGUCCCUCGGACCCUCCAGCAAAGACAAACGAAGGCUGGAGCGGUUCCCCGGACCCUCCAGCGAAGGCGGAUGAAGGCUGGAGCAGUCCCUCGGACCCUCCAGCAGACGACGAAGGCCGGGACGGUCCCUCGGACCCUCCAGCGAAGGCGGAUGAAGGCUGGACCGGCCCUCGGACCCUCCAGCGAAGACAGACGGCUGAAGCGGUCCCUCCCCCGGACCCUCCAGCGACGGCGGACGGCUGAAGCGGUCCCCCGGGCCCUCCAGCGAUUGGACGAGCCCCCAUAUGUUACACCCCGGCCUAGGCAACCGGAGUGCAACACGAAAAAAAGUAAAAAUAAAGAAAAAAAAACACACAAAAAAAAACCCACUAAGGCUCUCCACCAAAGACGUCAAACUAUUUACAACGGGGGGAGAAAAAGAUCGCGACCAUGACAACUGACACACAGGGCUUAAAUACAUGGAGGGAACAAUCAGGGAAUGGACAACAGGAGGGAAACACAGCUGGGGCAAAUCAGAACUGACGAGACAGGGAAAAUGUAAACUGAACACACUAAGAUGACACAGACUUUCAAAGUAAAGUAGGAAACACAUAACAGUCACGCAAAAACAACACAUUACCAACGCCAAAUCGUCAAUCCCGGAGGAGCACCUAGACACUCAAAUCCACACACAAUUACGGUCACAGCCGUAACACAAUCAAGGUCUCGUUUAAAAACCAGAGGUGACCGUGCUUUUGCCAUCGCUGCCCCUGGACUCUGGAAUAAUCUCCCAGUGGAAAUCUGUACAUCGGAAUCAAUUCAGUCGUUCAAAUCCCAUUUGAAAACACACUUGUUCAACUUAGCUUUUGAAAACAAUUAGUGUGACUUUCAUUCGGCCUGCACUACACCAUGUAAAUGCAAUUUUAAGUAUAAUUGUACUAUUUGUUCUGCCCGC
ensembl:lncRNA